ACGGAUUUUUGACCAAGAAAUGGUCUCCACCAGAAAUCCAAGAAUGUGAUCUAUGGCAAGGAAACAUAUGUGGGGUGAGGUGUAUGAGCCUCUGGUCGAUGAUAAAUGGCCACACAACGCCCAUUUUAGUCGAAAAUAGCCAUGAACGACCAUUUUCAAUAAUACCGAAGGCUAACACCAACAAAUUUUUGACCAAGAAAUGGUCUCCACCAGAAAUCCAAGAAUGUGAUCUAUGGCAAGAAAACAUAUGUGGGUUGAAGUGUACGAGCCUCUGGUCGAUGAUCAAUGGCCACACCACCCCCAUUUUUGUCGAAAAUAGCCAUGAACGACCAUUUUCAAUGACACUGAAGGCUAACACCUACGGAUUUUUGACCAAAAAUGGCCUCUACCGUAAAUCCAGGAAUGUGAUCUAUGGCAAGGAAACAUAUAUGUAGUUGGGUGUAUGAGCCUCUGGUCUAAGAUCAAUGGCCACACAACCCCCAUUUUUCUCGAAAAUAGCCAUGAAUGACCAUUUUCAAUAAUACCGAAGGCUAACACAUUCGGAUUUUUGCCCAAGAAAUGGUCUCCACCAGAAAUCCAAGAAUGUGAUCUAUGGCAAGGAAACAUAUGUGGGGUGAGGUCUACGAGCCUCUAGUCGAUGAUCAAUGGCCACACAACCCCCAUUUUAUCGAAAAUAGCCAUGAACGACCAUUUUCAAUAAUACUGAAGGCUAACACGUACGAAUUUUUUUACCAAGACAUGGUCUCCACCAAAAUUCCAAGAAUGUGAUCUAUGGCAAGGAAACAUAUGUGGGGUGAGGUGUAUGAGCCUCUGGUCGAUGAUACAUGGCCACACAACCCCCAUUUUUGAUGAAAAUAGCCAUGAACGACCAUUUUCAAUAAUACCGAAGCCUAAGACCUUCGGAUUUUUGACCAAGAAAUGGUCUCCACCAAAAAUCCAAGAAUGUGAUCUAUGGCAAGGAAACAUAUAUGGGGUGAGGUGUAUGAGCCUCUCGUCGAUGAUCAAUGGCCACACAACCCCCAUUUUUGUCGAAAAUAGCCAUGAACGACCAUUUUCAAUAAUACCGAAGGCUAACACCUACGGAUUUUUGACCAAGAAAUGGUCUCCACCAGAAAUCCAAGAAUGUGAUCUAUGGCAAGGAAACAUAUGUGGGGUGAGGUGUA
rnacentral:lncRNA from 1 species